UACAGGCAUGAGCCACCAUGCCCAGCCAGUUGCCAUCUGUUUUAUGUGUUUUCCUUCCUUCUCUCUUCUCCAGACAAAGCAUGUCUAUUAUCUCUGGAAGUAAGCCCUGCCUUUUUACACACAAGAGGAUCGUGACUCAUGCAGUGUAUACAGAGAGAUAGAGAUAUCUACCAGCAUGUUAAUAAAGGGCCUGAUAAGGAAUCGAAAAAUGUCACCCCCAGGUAAUUGCGGCAGUCUUCUGUAGCCACUGCUGGAGAGGGGGUGGCAUGGGAAUGGGGGAGAUGGGCACAAUCGUGUGCACCAUAUGUUAGGUGGCAGGAAAGAAGGAGGUUUCUGAAUUUUAUUUUUUUCUUGUUUAGGAAAUUUUUAAAGCAUCUUCUGCUUAGAGCCCUGCCAGGGUCUAAUUCCCACGCAAGUGGGAACGGUCCAUUAGAUUUUACCUGUUUACGGCCAAGCAGUGAUCUCACUGCCAAAGUCACGCUUACCGAUGCCCUCCUUUGACUGUGUUUCUCUGCUUUUUCCUUGUGCCUUGCAUCUCCUUUCUGUGCUUGCCUUUGUCUCUAUGUGUCUCUGUGCCUUUAUGGCUUUAGCAUCUCAGUGCCUGGAUGGAUAUUCCCCACCUCUCUGUGCUUCUUGGUUCCUGCAGAGCCUGCCUUGUGCCUUUCAUUACCACGUUAACAAACUUGAGUCGUGCCUAACGACGUCGCCUCAUACGUUAUGCUAAUGAUCAAGAGACAUGUUAAUGAUAUUUUAGAAGCCUAAUUAGUGGAAUAUAUAACUAUAUGCAAUUUGGUAAUGGACUGUGACAACAAGUUGUUAAAAGGGGGCUUGACAAAUCCAGUUGCAUGUGGCCUCAGACAAACAGGAGCUGAGAAUGAAUGAGUGGAAAUCAGACAGGGAGAUAGAAGGAGGUGGGUGUUGGGGGUGUGAAUGCUUGUGCAUACGCUUCUGUGAGGGUCAGUCUUUCUUAUGGAUAACACUGCUGUCUUAUCAUUCCACUGUCCUAAAGCUACAACUGUAUCUGAAGAAUUAUUUACUGAUGUUUCUUAAGCGAUUGCUGCUGUUCCAUUGAUCAUACUUGUAUAUCUUUGUUAGAAAUGUUAUUUUGAUUAUGUUAUUCUUCACAAUACCCUUACUUGCAAUUUGUAAUAGGAGAUGUACACACAGAAGAUAGGUUCUUGUGCCAAAAAGAAAUUUUAUUGUGUUAUAAACCGACAAUCAAGACCAUGUAAACUCAGAAAUAAUCUGUAUUGUGUCUACCAACAUUUGGAUAGUAUUGGUAGGAGUAAAACAAGGGAGUGAUGUGUGUAAAAUCAUUCAGCUGUUUGAAUGUCAUUUUCUCUCAAUGAAAGAAUUGGUUAGAGGCAUGCAUUCCUUCAGCUGCUAUCUUUCUUCCUCUAACAUGGUAAUUCUCAAUUUGUGGGCCAUGGACCCUAAGGGAACCAUGAAGUGGUUAAAAAGGUGUGGUAAAUUCAUGCACAUACCAAGCAUUGUCUGUAAACAGAAUAAUGUCAUGCACACACGUGCAGAUAAAUAUACCUACUAAAAUUCAUUGAAUAUAUGAAAUGCUAUUGUGGUUAAUGAAACGCACAUUCAUUUAAAAAAAGCAUUUUUUUCAGUUCCUAUAGGUUUUUUGUUCAUGAGUAUCAUUCCUCCAUCUGUAAAAGCUAAAAAUAUAGCAACUUUCUUACAAUGGUACUUGCAAUGUUUUGACAUUAAAAAGCAGACUAUGCAUUCACAGAGGUUGGGAACUUCUGCCUAGCCUGUUGUUAUCAAAACUACUUGUAAAAAUUUAAGCAACUAAUUUUCACUUUUGACAACUAUUUUAUUUCUAGAAAAUAGGUUUGGAAGAUUUUUUUUAAAGUGUUGUCUAUCCUUCCAAUGACUUAUUAUACAUUUUAGAAUAUAUUUGUAUAGGGUAGAAAAUCUCCUUCAGUUGGAAUUGAACAGUCUUUGUGAAAAACAUGUUACACCAUGUAGAAUCUUGGGUACUGCAGUGCAUAGGUGGCACUAGCUUAUGGGAGCCUGAAUUCCAGAAACUUGAUUUUACUUUUUGUUUAGGAUUAAAAUGCAAAAAAAGAGGUAGGCUUGCAGUAUCACACUUCACCACCAGGUAAAGCUUUUAGAAACAUACUCAGUGUGAAAAUGCCCUAAGUUUGCAGCUUCUUGAUGGAUAAAGACAGUUAUAGAGACAAAGAAAGUUAGUGUUUUAUGCAUUCGUUCUAUACUCUUGAAAUAGUAUAGGUUAUUGGCAAUAGUACAUUUGUACCUGUUGUAUCAGGUUAUUGGCAACGAGGUAUAUUUGUAUUUUUUUCUUGGCUGUUCUUCCUAAGGCAGUAUGCCCUGUUACCAUUGAGGAAGUUCUUCUCUCUUUCCCUGUAAACAUUUUUAUUGUACUUCCUUCCCUGAAGGAAGAUUAUGUGUGAACCCGGGAUUCUGUUAGAACGUCUGAUAUUUGUUUCCAGUUAAAAAUGAGAGGUAAUUUUUGGGAGGGAGGCAGACAGGGAAAAAGUUUAUAAGCGAGCCAGUGGAAAAAGCACAUUCAUUAUCAGUGUCUUUCUCACUGAGUCGUUUGAAGUUGGAGAAUUAGCAGCUUCUUUGAAGCUCAUAAGAUCUUUCAUCUCUGUGUGUGUGAGUGUGUGUGUGUGUUAAUAUUAAGUGGAGAUUCUUUCUCAUGCUACUUAUUUGGUUUUUCUGCUAAUAAUGAAAUUAUAAUGAGAUCCCUGAUGGGAUUAAAAAAAAAAAGAAAAAAACACCUUACAUGAAUUAUCCCAUUCCCUCACCCUCCUUCUGCCUUUCUGUAAAAUCUAUUCUGCAUAAUAGGUCUUUGUUUCUGGAUUUGUGACAGAAUUGAAGGAGGCCAGGAGUCGGAAAUGCCCCCCAUUGUUCUUUUUGGUGACUAGGAUACAAAGUUCAGUUCAGCACAAAGUACUGUCCUCUGCUUCUACCUCCGGGACCCCCGUUACCCCCCAGCCCACACACCACCACCCCAAUUUCGGGUGGGGAGAAGGCAAAGGUGAGUAUUUGAUGUCUUUGCAGGUUGAAUGGGCAGUUUAUUUGAAAUGCAUAUACCUUGCUUUCCCCCUUUUAUCUUUAAGGAUUCAUGACGUGGGCCGCAGUUGAGUGAAUCAAACAUCUCUCUUGAUGGCAGAAAUAUGGUAUUUUGAAACCUUGGGAAAACCUCUCUCAGGAUAACAUUUUCAGUGGUAGGUUUUCCUCCCUGUUACCUCUGGUUCCUAUUGCAUUGCCCUUUAUCAGUACAGGCUUUUGAAAAUGCCUUAAGUUAAAAAGGUCCCAUGGUCCAGGAGUUGAGCGUUUCUUUGCCAGGCCUGGUCUCUACCAGUGGGUGGGAAAGUGGAGCCUUUGGAAGACAGAAUCAGUGUAAUAGACUGUUCAAGACAGACACAUACUUAUCUAAUUUAAGCAUUUCUAGCUGUAGGAAAGGCAAUGCUGUGAUCUAUUCCAGUGAAGAGUUUACGCUUUGGAAACUCUCAGUUUCAGAAAAUUCUUCCAUAAUCCAUCCUAAAUAUUCUCUGCUUGGCUAUUUCGUCUUAAGCCAGAGAUAGGUAACUGCUGUUUUCCUGUCUUAAAGCUUUAGAAAACUGGAGUGUAGAGAAUGGGCAAGAUGAGAAUGCCUCGUGUAUGUCGGUGGCUUCAUCAAAAGCUAUUUCCUGAACCUCUCAUGUUUAGAUUUUCUCAGCAACAUUAAUGACUACUUUCAGGGCCUCACUCCUCACUCCCCAUCAUGUCUGGAGGUUCUCCCUCUCUUUCUUCCUUCUCACCAUUUAACAGGUAUAAUAAAGCUGGGGAAUCUUUACAGUCGGUGAUUUUAUAUCAUAGAUCAAAGAUCAAAGCAGAGGAAUACACAGCAACCGUAAAAUUAACUGCUUUUUCAAUUUUACAAUGCUUUCAGUGAUAGAGAAUCUUAUAAAUUUAAUAUUAAUUAAACACUUAGCUUUUAACCUCCUCCUGCAUCUACUUUUGGCUGGUGGCUGGAAAAAAUUAAUUGGGCAUCUUAAAUCUUGUAUUACUAACGCCUUGACAGGAGGGGUUUCAGAAGCACUUAUAACUUCAGCAAAAUGCACUCGGAGCAUGUGUCCUUCCACUCACCUAAUUGAAAGUGCCCCCUUUUUUUCCUCAAGGAAAAAUGAACCAUUUGCAAAUUUUUUUUAAAGGAAGCAUAACUUACAGUCCCCUUUCAUAGCCAAAGCUUUAACUCAGUCCCUUGGCACAUUUAACACUUCACAAAAUGGAAGCCAUUGAACUUCCAUUAUUCUAAAUGCCCUAUUGAUUUUUGAGUGUGUUGGUACAGAUGUGUGGCUGGCAAUUGCUUGGCCUACUCAUUGUGUUACCUGAAGCCUAUACAUGUUCAGUCCAGCAAGGGGUGCCUCCUGUUUUGGUGAGCUCACUUUGGUGUGGUAGAGUCAGAGAUGGUGGCAUCUGAGGAUGGACCUGCAGCUUCAUGAACAGGAAAGUUAGAAUAUUCGUGAAAAGAAAUAUUUCUCUUGAAGGAAGUCUCAAGAGAUAGGAAGCCAAUGUGAUGGAGGAGAUGUUUUGGGGAAGCUAGACUAGGCUGUUCAUAUUUUCUUAGCUCUGCAAGGAAUGGACGAUGGCCUUUCACUGGGGGACAAGCAUUUCACUCUUUAAAAGCCAGGCAGACCUUCAUGGCUAUGCUCCAGAAGUGACCCAGUAGAAAUAAUAAUACCAAUACGUUGCAUCUCUUUUCUGUUUUUUUCUCCGGUGGGCUUGGAGAACUUUAUCCAUAUAAUCUCUCAUUUUUCUCACACAUCACUGUGUCAGAGAAGAGCAAGUUCAGGCCCCUGAGUUUACCCAAACUGGUUCUCUGCUGUGACCAUGUAUUUGAAACUAGCAACUGGAAAUUACAGUGAAUACAGCAUGAACCCCAAGAAUGCAUCUUUCUGUACCGUGGUUCUAGAUUCAGGUAACUGAGAAAAGUACAUUGAUUGCUUUUUGGGGACACCCGUUCCUAGCACAGGGCUCAGUGAAAUCCCUUGGGUUCAUUUGGAGAAAAACUACAAGAAACAAAAUUUGUGAGAGAAUUUAAAAUGUCAUUAUUUACUUUACAAAAACGUUUUAAACAUUUUACUCUGAAAGGCUUUACUACAGGUUUGUUUAAAUUGCUAAGUUUUCUAGUUCUGUAGUCAUCUAAGGAGACUGUAACUCAGCUUACAACUGAUACUUCAGAAGCAUAUUUUUUGAGUAAGGCAAGGGAUAUAGAACAUGCAACACGACAGUCUCCUGUCUCCUGCUCUGGGUUGCAGUGGUCUCUUUCUUCAAGUCCCAGCAGUCACCUUGACAAUCCUUGUUGGCAGUAGGGAGCAUUUAAUCCAACUGUGAAAUAAUAAAUUAGCUGCGGAGUCACCACCAGAACAGGGAAUCCUGGCUUUAUGCACCUGGCUAGUCUGCACUCCCUGUGAAACCAUCACGGUUCCUUCUCAUUGCAGCUGAGCUUUCUGAACCUUUUAAGAGCUGAAUUGAUGGGAUGUGGAAUUUGAUAGCCGAUAAAUUAAGGAUAUUGGUAAAUGUAAUGACUCUCUUAGAAGAUAGCAUUGCCGAGAUCAGUAGCAACAUUUGCUUGCAUUGUUUGUGAGUGUAUCUGUGGAGGUCCUUUAUAUAUGUAUCUCUCUCUUUCUCUAUCUAUCUAGAUAUAUAUGAUAUGUGGGGUGCUAUAAAAUUUUUAGUGCCUUAGUUUGGGUUGACCGCCUUAUUACUCACGAGUGAGCUAUACAGGUCUUCCUUAACAAGUGGCAAUAAAGGCUUUACAGCACCCCUUACACCAUCACAUAUUUUUGUUUAGGCCACAUAUUGUCUUUUUCUUUUUAAGUCUCCCUUUGCUCAUGUCCCUCUCAAGUACCUUUGUUGCCAUGGCAACAGUUCCAUCGUUUCUUAGGGUAGAGCAGAAUGACAUCUCACACAAGAUUCUUUAAGUCAGUGCUUGUUUGGACUGACCUCAAACACUCAGCUGGGGCCAGUGCUGUGGCCCUUACCCUGGUCAUCUGUGACACUGUUUUCUCUUUCUUGCGUGAGGCUCUGUUUAUUAGAGUGCUGUGUCUGUCGCUACAUUAAUCAUUUGCCAUGUCUCUGUGGACCUGUUCCAAAGAAUGGGAAGAAGCUGAUACUCAUGAUCUAAAAUUGAAAAAAAAAAAAAUUAUUGCUAAGCAUUUUGAGUUAAAUAUGGAGCUUUGUGAGUGGCUGGGUGCAUAGUAAACACUGUGGCAAGAUGGAAGGGUAAGAACAGCUCUUCCUCUGCAUGUCAAUGUUCUCUUUGGAAUUCCUUCACAAGCAUGGUUUUGACAGGUUACCAUGUGCAUUUUUCCGUUCUCUCUGUGUGUCUUUAAGACCCAGCAGACCAGACCUUCCUUCUCCAUGACUCAUGGAAUAUUAAUCCUGAAGGAGUCACAGAACUGAGUCUAGCGCACUGAUUACAUUCUUAGGGAAACUGAGACCCAAAGGGGCAUGUGUCUUGCUAAGAUCACUCAUCUUUUAUUGGUGCACAUGGAAUGAAAACCCACAUCUCCCAGCCUUCAGUUGGGCCUUGCCUUUGCUGCAAUUUAUUAGUUUUUUAAAACAGAAAUUAUUUGAAAUGUUUUACUGUCAAACUGAUUUCCCAUCAAGCCACUUCAACAUUUCUGUAAAACGUGGCUAUAGCCAUAGUGGAGACCUCAUUUGGCAAAUGUGGACAGGUGGUGAGGUUCAACCUCCAAAUUUCUUAAUUCUUUUUCCAACAAGAAGGUUGGCUUGCCAAUUCUUUGAUAAAAAGGUAGGAGUUUCUGUAAUCUGUUCUCUUAACCACAUUUGGGAUUCUUGUAUAUAUGACUACAUAUAUUUAUAUAUUUUUUAUGGGCAAUAUUUUGACUGUUUCUCUUUUGAAAGACAGUGUGAAUGAGUAUGCCAAAAAUCACAGAUGAUAUGAGAAAUGCUAUCAAUAAAAGCAUUUUUUUCAGAAAGGUGAAUAAAAUCACCCCAAAAUCAUGUAAGAUUUUUCCUAAUGUUAUUCUGCAAAGUCAUUCGAAAACCAAGUGCUUGUGACCCAUGGGGUGUUGCUCAGGGCACUCUAUGUGUCUGGUGUUGUUGCUUUUACUGGGGAAAAGAAUUCAGAUCUGAGAGUCUUUUGGCAUGGGCCUAGACAGAGAGAUUGCAUGAUUUGUUCUUGGAUGACGUGACAAAGAACCCUGAAUGUAUUUUUCUUUUCUAUGCUUCCAGAGUCUGAGUGGGGAGUUUUACAUGGAUGGGUAAUAUAGCAUCGUAGGAGACAGAUAAUGCUCAGUGUUAGAUCUUCACUUGGUCUUUCCAAUUUGUAGGAGUGGUGUGGUGAUCACAUAUUUGAUUAGUGAAUCUGCUGUUUUUAUAUUUAGGCUGCCUGUAGCAGUCCAUGAUUUGCUAUCAGUAUAUCUAUCAAUCUGUAAUGCUACACUCGAUAAUUAUUCUUCCGUUACCCAAAUACUUCGUAAAAGAGAAAUCUAACAUGUACUAGAUUCCUACCAAGCAGAUAAGAUGAGAUAAUCUAUAUAAAGUGCACAGAAUAACCCUGAAAGGGAUUCUUAGUCCCACUUGACAGAUGUAGAAAAUGAAAAAUGAGUCCUGGAGAGAGUAAAUAAAAUAGAACCUUCUAUGACUAAGUGACUAAAUUCAGGCCUCUGAUUUCAAAGCCCAUACUCUUUCCUCAGAGUUGCAUUGCCCUACCAGGUACUUGGCAAUUAUGGUCUUAUACAAUCUUUGGAUCUUUGCUUUGAUAAUGUUUUUAAUAAUUCCCUUCACAGUUCAUAGUAAAAUAAGAAUGACGAGCAUUUAGCAUCAUCACACACAAGCCUGAGAGUCGGCAAGACUCACCUCACUGUAAAGCUAGCAGCUCUAGCAGCUUUCCAGGUAGCAUGAUGUCACUGGCAGAGUGGAUCACGAACUAGCACAUGCGCUGCAUCAGGGACCUCUGGGGACCUCGCAGAAGUUGAGAGCGUGUGUUGGGAGAAGGAGCAGUAUAUCAACCUUAUUGAUACACAGAGUUGUUCUUUCUUUUUCUUGCAGGUUAAUGCACAUGACUAUCUCACCGUUACUGUGUUUUUGUUUUGGUUUGGUUUUGUGGUUUAAGAUACCUUUUAAAAGCCACCAUCUGCUUUAGGUAUUAGAUGGAAGUUCUGGUUAAAACAAAACAAAUAGUUUCAUAAAACUAGUAAGAGGGUUUUUUUUCCCCCCUACAGCGUUCAAAGUGCUUUCUGAACAAACUUAAAUUUCUCUGGAUGUAAGCAACAGAGAAGGCAGAAAACAUGGCUCUCAGAUUCAAGUAAUAAAAAGAGAAGCAAAAAACUCACU